rnacentral:rRNA from 1 species
GACGAACGCUGGCGGCGUGCUUAACACAUGCAAGUCGAACGGAAAGGCCCUGCUUUUGUGGGGUGCUCGAGUGGCGAACGGGUGAGUAACACGUGAGUAACCUGCCCUUGACUUUGGGAUAACUUCAGGAAACUGGGGCUAAUACCGGAUAGGAGCUCCUGCUGCAUGGUGGGGUUGGGAAAGUUUCGGCGGUUGGGGUUGGACUCGCGGCUUAUCAGCUGGUUGGUGGGGUAGUGGCUUACCAAGGCUUUGACGGGUAGCCGGCCUGAGAGGGUGACCGGCCACAUUGGGACUGAGAUACGGCCCAGACUCCUACGGGAGGCAGCAGUGGGGAAUAUUGCACAAUGGGCGGAAGCCUGAUGCAGCAACGCCGCGUGCGGGAUGACGGCCUUCGGGUUGUAAACCGCUUUCGCCUGUGACGAAGCGUGAGUGACGGUAAUGGGUAAAGAAGCACCGGCUAACUACGUG